UACGUAGGGUGCAAGCGUUGUCCGGAAUUAUUGGGCGUAAAGAGCUCGUAGGCGGUCUGUCACGUCGGCUGUGAAAACCCGAGGCUCAACCUCGGGCCUGCAGUCGAUACGGGCAAACUAGAGUACUGCAGGGGAGACUGGAAGUCCUGGUGUAGCGGUGAAAUGCGCAGAUAUCAGGAGGAACACCGGUGGCGAAGGCGGGUCUCUGGGCAGUAACUGACGCUGAGGAGCGAAAGCGUGGGGAGCGAACAGG
rnacentral:rRNA from 1 species